rnacentral:misc_RNA from 1 species
AAGUCGUAACAAGGUUUCCGUAGGUGAACCUGCGGAAGGAUCAUUAACACGUAUCCAACGUAAAAAACCCCCCUGUGAACAUUCAAACCUGCUCUCGUAGCCCAGUGCGAUCCAGCAAUCCCGGUAAAUCAUUGUCGAACAGUAUUGAUUCGGGACUUCUGACAAAUGAGAAGUUACAGUUACGAUUGAGCGGAGAUAGCUGCAUGGCAUCCCGAAGCAGUCAGUGUCUGAAAGUGUCAUUGAUUGAUUGCCAGAGGUCGCUCACCGACCGGCAGACAUGCAACCGGGUCCCCACGCCCCUUUACAACCCCAUUACCUCUGUGAGUCGCGGGAAACUAGCGGCUAAAAAACCUCGAACAACUGUUAACAAUGGAUAUCUUGGUUCUC